CCUACGGGAGGCAGCAGUGAGGAAUAUUGGUCAAUGUACGAGAGUCUGAACCAGCCAAGUAGCGUGAAGGAUGACUGCCCUAUGGGUUGUACACUUCUUUUAUAUGGGAAUAAAAUGUUCCACGUGUGGGAUUUUGUAUGUACCAUAUGAAUAAGGAUCGGCUAACUCCGUGCCAGAAGCCGCGGUAAUACGGAGGAUACGAUCGUUAUCCGGAUUUAUUGGGUUGAAAGGGAGCGUAAGUGGAUUGUUAAGUCGGGUGUGAAAGUUUGCGGCUCAACCGUAAAAUUGCAGUUGAAACUGGCAGUAUUGAGGACAGUAGAGGUGGGCGGAAUUCGGGGUGUAGCGGUGAAAUGCUGAGAUAUCACGAAGAACUCCGAUUGCGAAGGCAGCUCACUGGACUGCAACUGACACUGAGGCUCGAAAGUGUGGGUAUCAAACAGGAUUAGAUACCCCUGUAGUC
rnacentral:rRNA from 1 species